UACGAAGGGGGCUAGCGUUGCUCGGAUUGACUGGGCGUAAAGGGCGCGUAGGCGGUUUGUACAGUCAGACGUGAAAUUCCUGGGCUCAACCUGGGGGCUGCGUUUGAUACGUGCAGACUUGAGUUCGGAAGAGGGUCGUGGAAUUCCCAGUGUAGAGGUGAAAUUCGUAGAUAUUGGGAAGAACACCGGUGGCGAAGGCGGCUCUCUGGACCGAGACUGACGCUGAGGCGCGAAAGCGUGGGGAGCAAACAGG
rnacentral:rRNA from 1 species